GUGCAGCCGCCGCGGUAAUACGGAGGGUGCAAGCGUUAAUCGGAAUUACUGGGCGUAAAGCGCGGCGUAGGCGGAAUGUUAAGUCUCAUGUGAAAGCCCUGGGCUCAACCUGGGAACUGCAUGGGAUACUGGCAUUCUAGAAUACAGUAGAGGGAGGUGGAAUUUCAGGUGUAGCGGUGAAAUGCGUAGAGAUCUGAAGGAACAUCAGUGGCGAAGGCGACCUCCUGGACUGAUAUUGACGCUGGGGGGCGAAACCGGGGGAGCAAACAGGAUUAGAUA
rnacentral:rRNA from 1 species